UGGGGAAUUUUGGACAAUGGGGGCAACCCUGAUCCAGCAAUGCCGCGUGAGUGAAGAAGGCCUUCGGGUUGUAAAGCUCUUUUGUCAGGAACGAAACGCGCUGAGCUAAUACCUCGGCGUAAUGACGGUACCUGAAGAAUAAGCACCGGCUAACUACGUGCCAGCAGCCGCGGUAAUACGUAGGGUGCAAGCGUUAAUCGGAAUUACUGGGCGUAAAGCGUGCGCAGGCGGUUGUGCAAGACAGAUGUGAAAUCCCCGGGCUCAACCUGGGAAUUGCAUUUGUGACUGCACGGCUAGAGUGUGUCAGAGGGGGGUAGAAUUCCACGUGUAGCAGUGAAAUGCGUAGAGAUGUGGAGGAAUACCGAUGGCGAAGGCAGCCCCCUGGGAUAACACUGACGCUCAUGCACGAAAGCGUGGGGAGCAAACA
rnacentral:rRNA from 1 species